rnacentral:rRNA from 1 species
UACGGAGGGUGCAAGCGUUAUCCGGAUUCACUGGGUUUAAAGGGUGCGUAGGUGGGUUUGUAAGUCAGUGGUGAAAUCUCCAAGCUUAACUUGGAACUGCCGUUGAUACUAUAAAUCUUGAAUGUUGUGGAGGUGAGCGGAAUAUGUCAUGUAGCGGUGAAAUGCUUAGAUAUGACAUAGAACACCAAUUGCGAAGGCAGCUC